AUCGAACGCUGGCGGCGGGCCUAAUACAUGCAAGUCGAACGAAUGGCGGACGGGUGAGUAGUGGCUGUGAAACUGGCCGAUGGAGCGGUAAAACUGGCGGAAAAGGUAGCUAAUGGUGCAUACGUCAGUAUGUGCCGAGUUGGGAUUAGCUAGUAGGGGGGGUAAUGGCUGACCUAGGCGACGAUCCCUAGCUGGUCGGAGAGGAUGACCAGCCACACUGGAACUGAGACACGGUCCAGACUCCUACGGGAGGCAGCAGUGGGGAAUAUUGCGCAAUGGGCGCAAGCCUGAUGCAGCAAUGCCGCGUGUAUGAAGAAGGCCUGCGGGUUGUAAAGUACUUUCAGCGAGGAGGCGGUACUCGCAGAAGAAGCACCGGCUAACUCCGUGCCAGCAGCCGCGGUAAUUC
rnacentral:rRNA from 1 species